rnacentral:rRNA from 1 species
GACGAACGCUGGCGGCGUUCUUAACACAUGCAAGUCGAACGGAAAGGCCCUGCUUUUGUGGGGUGCUCGAGUGGCGAACGGGUGAGUAACACGUGAGUAACCUGCCCUUGACUUUGGGAUAACUUCAGGAAACUGGGGCUAAUACCGGAUAGGAGCUCCUGCUGCAUGGUGGGGGUUGGAAAGUUUCGGCGGUUGGGGAUGGACUCGCGGCUUAUCAGCUUGUUUGUGGGGUAGUGGCUUACAAAGGCUUUGACGGUUCGCCGGCCUGAGAGGGUGACCAGCCCCAUCGGGACUAACAAAAUGACCAGAAUCCUUCGCGAGACAAAGGGGCGGAAUAAUGCACAAUGCACGGAAACCAAGAGCGCCAACACCGGUAGCGGAAUCACGGACUUAGGAAUAUAAACAGCUUUCGCCUGUGAAAACACGUGAGUGACGAUAAUCGGUAGCAAGACACAGACGAACUACAUC